UGACAAGUUCCAGAUCAAGUUCAAAUUUUUGUUUUGGUCUGAUAUUUUUCUGCAUGUUAUGGUCCUUCACUCAUAUAAUCAGUUAUUCACAUUGUUUCUAGUCAUGCUUAAAUAUAAUGACUUGAUAUUUACUUUUUGUUUACACCAUGACAAGUUAUAGAACAAGUUAGCAUUUUGUUCCAGUAUAAUGUAAUUUUUAUCCGGUAGGGGACUAUGUAAUGCCAAGAAAUACUCUCAGAAUGCUUGUUCAUUUUUCAUUGACUGUGAUAUUGUAACGAGUUUAAAUGAGUAAAGUUCAAUUAUGUAUGUAAUUUGAAAAAUUUGUGUUAAAGAAAGUAGUAAUAGUUUAAUUAACUAAGUUUGUU
rnacentral:lncRNA from 1 species